rnacentral:lncRNA from 1 species
CCACCUUUAUGGUGGAAUGGCUUUGUGCCUUGCACACUACUACACACAAAUAAACUCUAGCUUAGUUUUGUAUUAUAUAUAUAUUUAGAAGCUAGGGUUUGUGAGUGUAAGUAGUAAUAGCCAUUGUAGCCAACCUUCGGGUUUGGAUUUAUAGCACCCUUCGAGGUAUUUAUCAAUAUACAGAUAUACCUUGGAAAAUAUUGUGUGUUGGUUUAAUAUUUUCAUAUCCUCAGAAAUCGACCCAAUAAAUAUCCGGAACACGAAACCAUUACAGGACUGCAAUUUAUUUAUCCGCAAGAUUCGAAAGAAUUUUAAAUUGUAGUGAGUAUCGUAUUCAACCCCCCCUUCUACGAUACUUUGGACCUAACAGUUAGUCGCUUGUGAACCAGAUCAGUGCACUAAGCGUCAGCACGUGCGGAGUUUGCAAAGUAUUUAUCAAUCGAAAAAUUGAUCUAGUCAUAACAAGUCAUUUGUUCCAAAACCAAGCCAAGCCGAGCCAAAUGCCUAGCCUCUGCAAGCUAUGCGAAAGCUUAUUGUUCAACUGCUAUAUGUCAAGCUUUCACAAUGAUCCAUAUGCAUGGGGAAGUGACAUAUCUUUAUAUGUGUGCUCUUAUAUAUUUGUAUAUGUACAAAUAUAUUUAUAUAU